rnacentral:rRNA from 1 species
GACGAACGCUGGCGGCGUGCUUAACACAUGCAAGUCGAACGGAAAGGCCCUGCUUUUGUGGGGUGCUCGAGUGGCGAACGGGUGAGUAACACGUGAGUAACCUGCCCUUGACUUUGGGAUAACUUCAGGAAACUGGGGCUAAUACCGGAUAUGAGCUCCUGCUGCAUGGUGGGGGUUGGAAAGUUUCGGCGGUUGGGGAUGGACUCGCGGCUUAUCAGCUUGUUGGUGGGGUAGUGGCUUACCAAGGCUUUGACGGGUAGCCGGCCUGAGAGGGUUACCGGCCACAUUGGGACUGAGAUACGGCCCAGACUCCUACGGGAGGCAGUAGUGGGGAAUAUUGCACAAUGGGCGGAAGCCUGAUGCAGCAACGCCGCGUGCGGGAUGACGGCCUUCGGGUUGUGAACAGCUUUCGCCUGUGACGAAGCGUGAGUGACGGUAAUGGGUAAAGAAGCACCGGCUAACUACGUG